GAGAACUGUAUGUGAUUUGAACAGGCCAAGAUGUCUCAAGUUUUACAAGUAUAUGGAAGUGGUGUGUGACAGAUUUUCCACAGCAAAGUUAUGGAGACAAAAUGAGAGCACUGUAAUGAUUUGCACAGACCAAGAUGUCUCAUGUUUUACUUUCAAACUGAAGUGAUGGGUGACAGGCUUUUACUAGCAAAAUUGUGGAGGAAAAAUCAGGCUGCCAAACAGACAAGAUGCUAGAGUUCACAGUGCUGUGUGCUUUUUUUUGAUGAAAAAAAAACAGAGAUAGACAUUUUGCCAUUGAAAAUAAUAGACUCUGAUGUAUUUCGUAUUAACGUGUAUUGUUUUCUUCUGUUGAUAUCUGCCCGUACAAGAGGCAAUGCCCGUAAAAGAGGCACUACUAUUGCUUGAGUUUGCUUUUUCAUUUAUCAAUAGUAACAACAGUCACUGUAGAAAAGUACUCCGAGAUCAUGAGUCUUAUAGCCUCUCCUGUCUGUCCGAAUUUAUACUAUGCCGACUUGUUUGCCGGGUACACUGUCCAUACCCAAUACUAAAAGAUAAGGGUAUUCACCAGUGUGAAUGAACAAGUUCACUCACGCUGGUUGUACCUUUGCUUAU